GAAACGGUGGCUAAUACCGGGUAUGCCGAAAGGUGAAAGGUUAACUGCCUGGAGAUGAGCUCGCGUCUGAUUAGCUAGUUGGUAGGGUAAAAGCUUACCAAGGCGACGAUCAGUAGCUGGUCUGAGAGGACGAUCAGCCACACUGGGACUGAGACACGGCCCAGACUCCUACGGGAGGCAGCAGUGGGGAAUUUUCCGCAAUGGGCGAAAGCCUGACGGAGCAAUACCGCGUGAGGGAGGAAGGCUCUUGGGUUGUAAACCUCUUUUCUCAGGGAAGAAUAAUGACGGUACUUGAGGAAUAAGCAUCGGCUAACUCCGUGCCAGCAGCCGCGGUAAUACGGAGGAUGCAAGCGUUAUCCGGAAUGAUUGGGCGUAAAGCGUUCGCAGGUGGCAUUGAAAGUCUGCUGUCAAAGAGUCUGGCUCAACCAGAUACAGGCAGUGGAAACUUCAAAGCUAGAGUGCGGUAGGGGCAGAGGGAAUUCCUGGUGUAGCGGUGAAAUGCGUAGAGUUCAGGAAGAACACCGGUGGCGAAAGCGCUCUGCUAGGCCGCAACUGACACUGAGGGACGAAAGC
rnacentral:rRNA from 2 species